GGUCAUCUUUGAAGAUGUUGAGAAUAACAAAGAGUGUGGAUAAGAUAUGACAAUGUGUAUCAUUAUUGAUAUACAAUUUCUUAAUACUUUCUUUCAAGUUGUCUAAUUCUUUCACAAUUCAUAAUGACAAUUUAUUCUUCUUUGGUGGCUAGUGGUUAAUGGACAUUAUUUUCUUCACAGGGCUUAUGCUGUACGUGUAGGUGUGUACGAGCCUACAAAGCAGACACUAUUAACUUCAUUGCCUGAGAAGUUUAGUGCUUUAGCACAUCUGACUGCAGGUAUUAUUGGGGGUGCUGCUUCUUCUCUCAUCCGUGUGCCUACAGAGGUUGUUAAGCAAAGGAUGCAAACUGGGCAGUUUGCUUCAGCACCAAAUGCUGUUCGUCUAAUUAUAGCGAAAGAGGGAUUUAAAGGUCUUUAUGCUGUAAGUAUCCAUCUUUAUUUUCAAGUAUAUAUUAUUCUUUUGAGCUUAACUUAUUGUGUCACGUGCAAUUCUUGUAAUGAGCUUUUAGGAGUUUAUGCUUGUAACACAUAAAUAUAUGAAGAAUUCUGUGCAUUUGACUUGAUUGUUGAGGCAAAAUGUUUGAUCUGUUGUUUAGUAGAAUACAAAAUCAAUGCUUGUUUCAAUUGUGGCUAAAGUUCUUGAAAUUUUAAUGGAUGAAUGACUUAU